rnacentral:misc_RNA from 1 species
GGAGACUGCAUUAUGUUUUGUUAUGAUAGAGAUAAAGGCAUCGUUACAAAUAAAAGAACCUUUGCAUUACUAAAAAGAGAAAUACAAGAUAUCUAGCCAAACAAUAUACUGAUAAGAUCAGAGGAGAAUACACUUGCGCCAUUACUGAAAAUCUAGAGGCACUGAUAUAUUCUCGUGUCCCGAUUUCUUGACCAAGUAGUAUGUACGUAAGUAAAUAUCGAAAAACACAUUCAUUUUAUUGUUGUUAAUAGGAGAACGAACCGUAGAUAGCCGACACUUUUUCUACGCUCCAAAUUUAGGGACUUUGGCAGUUGAAAUCUGAGCAAGGAAGUGCUCUGCAACAAGUCGUCGUUGAAUUUUCCCUGAUGCAGUCUUUGGAAGAGAAUCAGUCAUGAAUACCUUCUUUGGGACCUUAAAGGCUGCCAGGUUCUUCUUGCAAAAUCUCAUAACCUCUGCUUCAUCAAUGUUUGACCCUUCUCUUGGAAUAAUUGCACAAUUUAUCUCUUCACCA